GUCCACGCCCUAAACGAUGCCAGCUCGCUGCCUGGGCCCGUUCCGGGCCUGGGUGGCUCAGUUCACACGGUAAGCUGGCCGCCUGGGGAGUACGGUCGCAAGACUAAAACUCAAAGGAAUUGACGGGGGCCCGCACAAGCAGCGGAGCGUGUGGUUUAAUUCGACGCAACGCGAAUCACCUUACCCAGGCUUGACAUGCCACUGCAAGCCCGCGAAAGCGGGUCGCCUUCGAGGGUGUGGCGCAGGUGCUGCAUGGUUGUCGU
rnacentral:rRNA from 1 species